UUCAAUUUUUGAAGUUUCUUUAGCUUUUUUGUUGGGUGAAAUCAGUAUAAGGAGCUCUUUCUUCUUUAAAAAUUAGUAGGAACUAAAAAACUUCGAUUUAAAACCAGGAUUAGAUACCCUGUUAUUCUCAGUUAUUCUUAAACAGGGUAGUAAAAGUUGUUCUUCAAACCCAAAGAUUUUGGCGGCACUUUAUCCAAAUAGAGGAGCUUGUCCCUUAAUCGAUAGUCCUCGUUUUAUCUUUCCUUCAUUUGUAAAGCUUGUAUACCGCCGUUGUCAGAUUACUUUUAGAGAAUGUUUUCAAGUUAAAAGACUUUAUAACUUCAGGUCAAGGUGCAGUUUAUAUGGGGGUGGAGGUGAGCUACAGUUUCCUUUAGAAAAUACGGAUUCUAAGCUUUGAAGCUAGCUGAAGGUGGAUUUACUAGUAAAGUAA
rnacentral:rRNA from 1 species